UACGGGGGGUGCAAGCGUUAAUCGGAAUUACUGGGCGUAAAGGGUGCGUAGGUGGUUAGAUAAGUUAUCUGUAAAAUCCCUGGGCUUAACCUGGGCAGGUCAGAUAAGACUGUAUAACUAGAGUAUGGGAGAGGGUAGUGGAAUUUCCGGUGUAGCAGUGAAAUGCGUAGAGAUCGGAAGGAACACCAGUGGCGAAGGCGGCUACCUGGCCUAAUACUGACACUGAGGCACGAAAGCGUGGGGAGCAAACAGG
rnacentral:rRNA from 1 species